UGCCUCUGUAUCAGAAUUUAAAAUGAGGUGAGAUGCCUUUUAUUCCUCAGUCAGGGUUGGAGGCUAUGAUCUGCCCUUGGGGAUCAUGGUCAGGGCUGCCACAAGCUGGCAGGCUUGUUUUCCUGCCUCAGACAUCU
ensembl:snoRNA